rnacentral:misc_RNA from 1 species
UCACUGCUUGCGCAGGCAGUCUCUUUAGAGUCCCCACCAUAAUGUGCUGGCAACAUAGAACGAGGGUUGCGCUCGUUGCGGGACUUAACCCAACAUCUCACGACACGAGCUGACGACAACCAUGCACCACCUGUUUACGAGUGUCCAAAGAGUUCUACAUUUCUGCAGCGUUCUCGUAUAUGUCAAGCCUUGGUAAGGUUCUUCGCGUUGCAUCGAAUUAAUCCGCAUGCUCCGCCGCUUGUGCGGGUCCCCGUCAAUCCCUUUGAGUUUUAGCCUUGCGGCCGUACUCCCCAGGCGGGGAACUUAAUGUGUUAGCUGCGUCACGGAAUCCGUGGAAUGGACCCCACAACUAGUUCCCAACGUUUACGGGGUGGACUAC